rnacentral:rRNA from 1 species
GAGGGAACCUGCGGAAGGAUCAUUAUUGAAAUAAACCUGAUGAGUUGUUGCUGGUUCUCUAGAGAGCAUCGUGCACGCUUGUCAUCUUUAUGUCUCCACCUGUGCACAUUUUGUAGACCUGGAUCACUCUCUGAAAUGCUAACCAGCAUUUUAGGUUGGAGGAAUUUGACUUUGUUGUCUUUCCUUGCAUUUCUAGGUCUAUGUUCUUUUUCAUAUAAUCUUAUUGUGAUAUAAUGGACCCUAUAUAAUAUGAACCUAUACAACUUUCAGCAACGGAUCUCUUGGCUCUCGCAUCGAUGAAGAACGCAGCGAAAUGCGAUAAGUAAUGUGAAUUGCAGAAUUCAGUGAAUCAUCGAAUCUUUGAACGCACCUUGCGCUCCUUGGUAUUCCGAGGAGCAUGCCUGUUUGAGUGUCAUUAAUAUAUCAACCUCUUUAAAUUUUGAGAGUGUUUGGAUGUGGGGGUGUUAUUUUGCUGGCCUUCUUCAAGGUCAGCUCCCCUGAAAUGUAUUAGCGGAACAAUUUGUUGACCGUUCAUUGGUGUGAUAGCAUAUCUACGCUAUUGACGUGAAGCAAGUUCAGCUUAUAACAGUCCAUUGACUUGGACAAUUCUCUAUUUAUUAAUGUGACCUCAAAUCAGGUAGGACUGAGCC